rnacentral:tRNA from 1 species
GGGGCGGUGGCGGAACUGGCAGACGCAGUGGACUUAAAAUCCACCGACCGCGAGGUCUUGUGGGUUCGAGUCCCACCCGCCCUACCA